AGUAAUACAUAGGAAUCUGCCCAGUAGCGGGGGACAACUCGGAGAAAUCCGAGCUAAUACCGCAUACGCCCUACGGGGGAAAGCAGGGGAUCUUCGGACCUUGCACUAUUGGAUGAGCCUAUGUCAGAUUAGCUUGUUGGUGGGGUAACGGCCUACCAAGGCGACAAUCUGUAGCUGGUCUGAGAGGACGAUCAGCCACACUGGGACUGAGACACGGCCCAG
rnacentral:rRNA from 1 species